rnacentral:rRNA from 1 species
GACGAACGCUGGCGGCGUGCCUAAUACAUGCAAGUCGAGCGAAGUGUUUCUGGUGCUUGCACUAGAAAAACUUAGCGGCGAACGGGUGAGUCACACGUAAAGAACCUGCCUCAUAGACUGGGACAACUAUUGGAAACGAUAGCUAAUACCGGAUAACAGUAUUUCUCGCAUGAGAGAUAUUUAAAAGUUGGUUAUGCUAACACUAUGAGAUGGCUUUGCGGUGCAUUAGCUAGUUGGUGGGGUAAAGGCCCACCAAGGCGACGAUGCAUAGCCGACCUGAGAGGGUGAUCGGCCACACUGGGACUGAGACACGGCCCAGACUCCUACGGGAGGCAGCAGUAGGGAAUCUUCCGCAAUGGGCGAAAGCCUGACGGAGCAACGCCGCGUGAGUGAAGAAGGAUUUCGGUUCGUAAAGCUCUGUUGUUAGGGAAGAAUGGAUAUGUAGUAACUAUACAUGUAAGAGACGGUACCUAACCAGAAAGCCACGGCUAACUACGUG